UGGGGAAUAUUGCACAAUGGGCGCAAGCCUGAUGCAGCCAUGCCGCGUGUGUGAAGAAGGCCUUCGGGUUGUAAAGCACUUUCAGCGGGGAGGAAGGCGUUAAGGUUAAUAACCUUGGCGAUUGACGUUACCCGCAGAAGAAGCACCGGCUAACUCCGUGCCAGCAGCCGCGGUAAUACGGAGGGUGCAAGCGUUAAUCGGAAUUACUGGGCGUAAAGAGCACGCAGGCGGUCUGUCAAGUCGGAUGUGAAAUCCCCGGGCUCAACCUGGGAACUGCAUUCGAAACUGGCAGGCUAGAGUCUUGUAGAGGGGGGUAGAAUUCCAGGUGUAGCGGUGAAAUGCGUAGAGAUCUGGAGGAAUACCGGUGGCGAAGGCAGCCCCCUGGACAAAGACUGACGCUCAGGUGCGAAAGCGUGGGGAGCAAACAGG
rnacentral:rRNA from 1 species